rnacentral:rRNA from 1 species
GAUGAACGCUGGCGGCGUGCCUAAUACAUGCAAGUCGAGCGAACGGACGAGAAGCUUGCUUCUCUGAUGUUAGCGGCGGACGGGUGAGUAACACGUGUAUAACCUACCUAUAAGACUGGGAUAACUUCGGGAAACCGGAGCUAAUACCGGAGAAUAUUUUGAACCGCAUGGUUCAAAAGUGAAAGACGGUCGUGCUGUCACUUAUAGAUGGAUCCGCGCUGCAUGAGCUAGUUGGUAAGGUAACGGCCUACCAAGGCAACGAGGCAUAGCCGAACUGAGAGAGUGAUCGGCCACACUGGAACUGAGACACGGUCCAGACUCCUACGGGAGGCAGCAGUAGGGAAUCUUCCGCAAUGGGCGAAAGUAUGACGGAGCAACGCCGAGUGAGUGAUGAAGGUCUUCGGAUCGUAAAACUCUGUUAUUAGGGAAGAACAUAUGUGUAAGUAACUGUGCACAUCUUGACGGUAUCUAAUCAGAAAGCAACGGCUAACUACGUG